CCUACGGGAGGCAGCAGUGAGGAAUAUUGGUCAAUGGUCGGGAGCCUGAACCAGCCAAGCCGCGUGAGGGAAGAAGGUACAGCGUAUUGUAAACCGCUUUUGUCAGGGAACAAAGGCCGGGACUAGUCCCCGGUUGAAGGUACCUGAUGAAAAAGCAUCGGCUAAUUCCGUGCCAGCAGCCGCGGUAAUACGGAGGAUGCGAGCGUUAUCCGGAUUUAUUGGGUUUAAAGGGUGCGCAGGCGGCCUGUUAAGUCUGCGGUAAAAGCCCGGGGCUCAACCCCGGCGAGCCGUUGAAACUGGCGGGCUGGAGUUCGAGAGAAGUACGCGGAAUUCGUGGUGUAGCGGUGAAAUGCUUAGAUAUCGCGAAGAACCCCGAUUGCGAAGGCAGCGUACGGCCUCCACACUGACGCUGAGGCACGAAGGCGUGGGUAUCGAACAGGAUUAGAUACCCCUGUAGUC
rnacentral:rRNA from 1 species